AGUGAACGCUGGCGGUAGGCCUAACACAUGCAGGUCGAACGGCAGCACAGUAAGAGCUUGCUCUUACGGGUGGCGAGUGGCGGACGGGUGAGGAAUACAUCGGAAUCUACUUUUUCGUGGGGGAUAACGUAGGGAAACUUACGCUAAUACCGCAUACGACCUACGGGUGAAAGCAGGGGACCUUCGGGCCUUGCGCGAUUGAAUGAGCCGAUGUCGGAUUAGCUAGUUGGCGGGGUAAAGGCCCACCAAGGCGACGAUCCGUAGCUGGUCUGAGAGGAUGAUCCGCCACACUGGAACUGAGACACGGUCCAGACUCCUACGGGAGGCAGCAGUGGGGAAUAUUGGACAAUGGGCGCAAGCCUGAUCCAGCCAUACCGCGUGGGUGAAGAAGGCCUUCGGGUUGUAAAGCCCUUUUGUUGGGAAAGAAAUCCAGCCGGCUAAUACCUGGUUGGGAUGACGGUACCCAAAGAAUAAGCACCGGCUAACUUCGUGCCAGCCGCCGCCGUAAUAC
rnacentral:rRNA from 1 species